UAGGGAUGUUUGCUGUCUCCGAAUUUUCGAAGGAAAUCUAUUGCCUAUUGGAAACUGACUGGACAUACACUACCGGCCCCGGGAGUCUGUCUAUUCUAGAGAGUAGAGAGUCGAGACAACGUAGUUUCAGACGUUUGUCAAGGGAGCCAUCAGGAAAAAUGAGAGGA